rnacentral:lncRNA from 1 species
GAGUGUCUAAUCCUGCAGUCAUGGCGCAGGAAGAGGAAGAUGUUAGAGAUUACAAUUUGACUGAAGAACAGAAGGCGAUCAAGGCCAAGUAUCCGCCAGUCAAUAGGAAGUACGAGUAUUUGGAUCAUACAGCAGAUGUCCAGUGGGGAGAAGAAUUUUCAUUGUCCAAGCACCCUCAGGGAACAGAAGUCAAAGCAAUAACAUAUUCAGCAAUGCAGGUCUAUAAUGAAGAGAACCCGGAAGUUUUUGUGAUCAUUGACAUUUAAGACACCAAAAAAUAAAAGACUCCUACGAAGAACUGUUUUUGUUUUCCUCUUCCUUUUGAGAAGACACUAUGAAUUAAAUUCUACAGCUUUUUUUUGAUAUAUGGAAAUUUGUAGAACAGAAAUAUUUUAGUUAAAGUGUGACUUUCAGAAAGGGAAAAUCAGGGCACAGCCUUGGUCUGUGUUCCCCAAAUAUUCACACUUUAAAGAAUUCUUCAACCCCCCAAGGGACAGUUAUGGUCCUUUGAUUCUCUGCUGUGGCAGUAGGUGUGCCUCAUGCCCUUCCAGUGCAAUGCAAGCCCUCCAGCCUCACCCCAGAGAGGAUCACUGAUGUCAGCAGCAGCCUGAGGCUGAAUCCAGGUUGAAAGAAGAAUAACUUGAAAAAAUAUAUUUCCACACACAGAAUUUUGUUUUUCUUCCAAGUUGGUUAAGACAUAUAUUUUGUUUCUUUUUUUUUUUUUUUUUUGAGACGGAGUCUCGCUCUGUAGCCCAGGCUGAAGCGCAGUGGUGUGAGCUCGGCUUACUGCAAGCUCCACCUCCCGGGUUCACGCCAU